rnacentral:rRNA from 1 species
CCUACGGGAGGCAGCAGUAGGGAAUCUUUCACAAUGGGCGAAAGCCUGAUGGAGCAACGCCGCGUGCAGGAUGAAGGCCUUCGGGUUGUAAACUGCUUUUAUAAGCGAGAAAUAUGAUGGUAACUUAUGAAUAAGGAUCGGCUAACAACGUGCCAGCAGCCGCGGUCAUACGUAGGAUCCGAGCAUUAUCCGGAGUGACUGGGUGUAAAGAGUUGCGUAGGUGGCAUAAUAAGUAGCUAGUGAAAUCUGGUGGCUCAACCAUUCAGACUAUUAGCUAAACUGUUAAGCUCGAGACCGUUAGGGGUAACUGGAAUUUCUAGUGUAGAAGUGAAAUCCGUAGAUAUUAGAAGGAACACCAAUAGCGUAGGCAGGUUGCUGGGACGGUUCUGACACUAAGGCACGAAAGCGUAGGGAGCAAACGGGAUUAGAUACCCUAGUAGUC